CUAGUAUGUCAUCUCAGCAAUACGGUCUUAUCAGAACCAACAGAUGAACCCACGCAAGAACAAAUCAUCUACAUCUGAAAGGCGAGCUUCACUACGCUCCAGCCGCGGUGCCGACCCGACUGGUCAUCUGGCCAUCAAGGCCACCAGAGCCCGAUUCUCCUGAUGGGUGAGCUCUACCAUUUCAGCUGAUCAAUAUGAAGCAAGAAGCUGGAGCUGCGGCCUUUGUGGGCCGUUGAGAACAACAUGGCACCUGUCAGCUUCCCCCUAUCACGGAACCACAGGGCUGAGCACAGGUGUGGAUACAAAACAGGAGAGAGGUUCUGGAGGCAGAAGAGGAUGGAUCUGGGUAAGAGAGGUCAUGCUCUGAGGUCACUCAGAUGAAGAACUUCUGAAGUUUGGGUGUCAAGAUGACAUCAUCAGCUCUUUUUAAUUUGGAUUAUCUCAGUGAUGAGUUUGUAAUAUUGUAGGGGAAACUGAGAUGGCAUCCAGGAACACUGAGUUGUAUAUUUUUGUAACAAAAGAGGGAGGUGAAAAUUCACCUGCUACCAUGGGUUAAUAUUUCAAACAUAAAACAUUUUAUGAAAGACUACCUAUAAAUCCGCUGAGAUGAGCAGAUUGAAAGGGAUGACUGGAAUUUGUGAGGCUCGCCUGCAUGUUGGUAGGGCACCAGGAGGACUGUAAACCUGUCACGGAUCCCACUGCAGAAAUCACAGAAUGCAUGAAAACGGCCCAGAAAGACGCCCAUUUCAGAGCCUCACACGUUCACAGCGUCCCUCCCAACACAGCAGCUCCCAAAUGUGAACAUGCUGCAGGUGUUUCAUCAGUUCAUCAAACUCACAAGUCCAGUCUUAAAUUUCCCAGCAUAUGAUUGGUAUGCUCUGCGUGACAGCAUUUUUAAUCACUGGUUUGGCUUGUUGAAGCUGGGGGAAAACUCUGCAGUAGGAGGCUCACGGGGCCCUGAAGCACUAACCAGUGAUGGGUGGCCUAGAAGGACAUUUUCCAUCAACUUUUCAUGACAGAUUUUUUUUUGAGCAGUAUUGCUUUGGUCCUGGACACUGUGGAAGACUAGUGAUUUUGUUGUUGUAAAUGCAGCUCCUUGACAACAAGUCACAGUCUACCUCAAUGACUAGAACAAACUCAUCAAAUUUUAAAUGACCUUUAACCUGGAUACCCUCGGAUCCCCCCCCCCCAGGUAACCCAAAGGUGGGACUGGCUGGGGAAACACUGGCAAAUAUUAAUAUCGACAUGCCUCAUUAAUGCUUUUAAUAAAAAAAUGAUGGUCCUUAAUGAAA